CACAGACAACCAGGAUGUUGGCUUAGAAGCAGCCACUCAUUCAAAGAGUGCGUAAUAGCUCACUGGUCGAGUGAUCCUGCGCCGAAGAUUUCCGGGGCUAAAACUUACUACCGAAGCUACGGCAUCAGUAAUGAUGGGUAGGGGAGCUUCCCAUACGGGUUGAAGCAUGACCGUAAGGACAUGUGGACAGUAUGGGAGUGAGAAUGUUGGCAUGAGUAGCGAGAUGUGGGUGAGAAUCCCACAGGCCGUAAACCCAAGGUUUCCAGGGGGAGGUUCGUCCGCCCUGGGUUAGUCGGGACCUAAGCUGAGGCCGAAAGGCGUAGGUGAUGGACAACAGGUUGAUAUUCCUGUACUACCGAUAACCGUUUGAGAGAAGGGAUGACACAGUAGGAUAAGCUAAGCACACUGUUGGUUAUGUGUGCCCAAGCAUUGAGGCAGUCAAAGUAGGCAAAUCCGCUUUGAUAAUGCUGGGAUGUGAUGGGGAGCGAAAUUUAGUAGCGAA
rnacentral:rRNA from 1 species